CUGCCUGCAGCAUGGUCCCAUCCAGAAGGUUCAAUCCAGACCAGCAUCUCUGACGUGGAGAAAUAUUUGCUGAAGUAUGUGGUGACUGGAAGAAAGGGUGCAAAACUGGAAUGAAGGAAACCAGGAGAUGGUCCAUAAUAAUGAUCCAUAAAACUGAUACGUGUUUCCAGAGUGCUGAAGGCUCUGGAAAAGCUCCCAACAACUGCCUUGUGGUAAGAGCGCCAAGGAGCAUGAUGACCGUUGAAUACCACGAUAUCCUGCCUUAUUUGAGCCUCUUACCAAGAUCUGCCUUCGAUUUCCACAAGGUUUCUAUUUCUUCUCAUUCAUGGACAACAGGAAUGAAAAAACAUCCCAAGUUGCAGGUGAAUCACAAGUGCUAUGCAGAAGGCAGUUGUGAUUUCAUGUGGAAGAUAAUUAUGAUUGAUAAUGU